GAUGAACGCUGGCGGCGUGCCUAAUACAUGCAAGUCGAGCGAACUGAUUAGAAGCUUGCUUCUAUGACGUUAGCGGCGGACGGGUGAGUAACACGUGGGCAACCUGCCUGUAAGACUGGGAUAACUUCGGGAAACCGAAGCUAAUACCGGAUAGGCUCUUCUCCUUCAUGGGAGAUGAUUGAAAGAUGGUUUCGGCUAUCACUUACAGAUGGGCCCGCGGUGCAUGAGCUAGUUGGUGAGGUAACGGCUCACCAAGGCAACGAUGCAGAGCCGACCUGAAAGGGUGAUCGGCCACACUGGGACUGGGACACGGCCCAGACUCCUACGGGAGGCAGCAGUAGGGAAUCGUCCGCAAUGGACGAAAGUCUGACGGAGCAACGCCGCGUGAGUGAUGAAGGCUUUCGGGUCGUAAAACUCUGUUGUUAGGGAAGAACAAGUACGAGAGUAACUGCUCGUACCUUGACGGUACCUAACCAGAAAGCCACGGCUAACUACGUGCCAGCCGCCGCCGUAA
rnacentral:rRNA from 1 species